GAAGGUUGGCAGCGCCGCAGCCCGGGCCGGAGCGCAGGAGCCGACGGGGGCCGGCCGGGAUGGUGCAGCGGCGGCUCUGCGGCUCACGCACGCACUGAGCGGGCCCAGGCUGGGCCCCGCGCCCCCCGCGCCCCCAGCCGCCCCGAUCCCGGCCGGCAUGAUGUGCCUGGAAUGCGCCUCGGCGGCGGCGGGCGGCGCGGAGGAGGAGGAGGCGGAUGCGGAGCGACGGCGCCGGCGCCGGGGGGCGCCGCGAGGGGCUAGCGGUAGCGGUUGCUGCGGGGCGCAGGGCGCAGGCGGUGCUGGAGUCUCGGCCGCCGACGACGAGGUGCAGACGCUGUCGGGCAGUGUGAGGCGGGCCCCGUCCGGACCCCCCAGCUCCCCCGGCUCCCCCGGCUGCGCAGCUGCUGCCAAGGGCCCCAGCGCGCAGCAGCCUAAACCCGCCAGCUUGGGCCGCGGGCGGGGGGCAGCGGCCGCCAUCCUUAGCUUGGGCAACGUGCUUAACUACCUGGACAGGUACACCGUGGCAGGCGUCCUUCUGGAUAUCCAGCAGCACUUUGGGGUCAAGGACCGAGGCGCUGGCUUGCUGCAGUCAGUGUUCAUCUGCAGCUUCAUGGUGGCUGCCCCCAUCUUCGGCUACCUGGGCGACCGCUUCAACAGAAAGGUGAUCCUCAGCUGUGGCAUUUUCUUCUGGUCAGCAGUCACCUUCUCCAGCUCCUUCAUCCCCCAGCAGUACUUCUGGAUGCUGGUGCUGUCCCGGGGGCUAGUGGGCAUUGGCGAGGCCAGCUACUCCACCAUCGCGCCCACCAUCAUUGGAGACCUCUUCACUAAGAACACGCGUACACUCAUGCUGUCCGUCUUCUACUUUGCCAUCCCACUGGGCAGUGGCCUGGGCUAUAUCACUGGCUCCAGCGUGAAGCAAGCGGCUGGAGACUGGCACUGGGCCUUGAGGGUGUCCCCUGUCCUGGGCAUGGUCACAGGAACACUCAUUCUUGUCCUGGUCCCGGCCACUAAGAGAGGCCAUGCCGACCAACUUGGGGGGCAGCUCAAGGCACGGACCUCGUGGCUCCGUGACAUGAAGGCCCUGAUCCGAAACCGCAGCUAUGUCUUCUCCUCCUUGGCCACGUCCGCCGUAUCCUUCGCCACAGGGGCCCUGGGCAUGUGGAUCCCGCUCUACCUGCAUCGUGCUCAGGUUGUGCAGAAAACGGUGGAGACGUGUAACAGCCCGCCCUGCGGGACCAAGGACAGUCUCAUCUUUGGGGCCAUCACCUGCUUUACAGGCUUUCUGGGUGUGGUCACAGGUGCAGGAGCCACACGCUGGUGCCGCCUGCGGACCCAGCGGGCUGACCCACUGGUAUGUGCCGUGGGCAUGUUGGGCUCUGCCAUCUUCAUCUGCCUGAUCUUUGUGGCCGCCAAAAGCAGCAUUGUGGGAGCCUAUAUCUGUAUCUUUGUUGGGGAGACGCUGCUGUUUUCUAACUGGGCCAUCACUGCGGACAUCCUCAUGUAUGUGGUCAUCCCCACCCGAAGGGCCACAGCUGUGGCCUUGCAGAGCUUCACCUCCCACCUGCUGGGGGAUGCAGGAAGCCCCUACCUCAUUGGCUUUAUUUCUGACCUGAUCCGCCAGAGCACCAAGGACUCCCCGCUCUGGGAAUUCCUGAGCCUGGGCUACGCCCUCAUGCUCUGCCCCUUCGUUGUGGUCCUGGGGGGCAUGUUCUUCCUUGCCACUGCUCUCUUCUUCCUCAGUGACCGUGCCAAGGCUGAGCAGCAGUCCCUGCCCAGCACCUCCGGUCAGCCGGCCCCGGCGAUGCGAUGUGCCAGAGCAGUGCCCGGGCCCGGCCCCCGCUGAUGCGCCACCCUGACCCCCGCCCAUCUUUCCCCCAGGGUGAACCAGCUAGUGAUGCCCCCCGCAUCUGUGAAAGUCUGAGGUGGUGCCACUGGAACGAUGAAGUCACACACCUCUCCAAUCUGGGAGGUGCCCUACGGGGUCCUGGACCUGUUGGGCUGUCCCAGAACUUUCUGUGCCAUCCACAGCUGGACACCCACCCUCUCUGGCCUGGGACUGCAGAGUGGCCCUGGCUCCAAGAAGAGGCUGUCUCCCCAGUUAACCUAGAAGGCUAUGGGUGUUGGAACCACACAGCUGGACAGAUUUCUAGCCCUGGGUUUGGGCUGCAGGGCCCCUGGGGACAAGGGAGAAGACAGCCUCAACUGGGUGUAUUGGUAGACCCUGGCCUGCCACCAGCAUAUGUGACCUUGGGCAUGUCCUUGCCCUCCCUAGACCACAGGUCCAGGGGGCUGGACUUUCCCACACGAUUUGCUGGGCAGGAGACCAUCUACAGCUUUGAAGAUCCCACAGAUACUGGACUGUUCAGAGAUGAGUUGGCCCAGGCCUCAGAGCAGCAGUUCAGGUUCUAAGGCUCACAGAGGGCCUGUGAGCAGAGCCCACUGCCUCUCAGUUGGGUCUCUCACCUUGGGGAUGUUGGACUCAACCUGGUAAAUGGAACUGGGAACCCAAGUCACUGGGUACUUCCUGGCCCAGCUGGCCACUCUGGAGGACACUUGUCUCCCUGCCUUGGUUUGCCUCUUAGCCUGGAGGUCUCCUGGCUCAGGAUCAACUCCUGACAAGGAGGUGCCAGGGGUGAAGGCCCUGGCAGCAGCUGCACACCACUCGUGCCCCCAGGCUCAAGGUCUUUGGUAGUUACCCACCAGCCCCUCUCUGUAGGCCCGUGGGCCUUCGAGUGCUUGUGCUAUCUACCCUCCUCAACCCCCAUUUCCAGCCAGGAACCCACUCCCUCCCUCAGGCUGGGCUGGGCACUCUUCCAGGGGCAGGGCCCAGGGGACCAUUCCCAGAAUCCACAGGGCAGUAGCCAGGACUCUGGUUGCCAGAGGAAGCAGCCAUCCAGGAAGCUUCCUGCCCAAUGGAUGAGUGUAGAAUAGGCUGAGGCCCACAUGGUGAGGCUACCAUGUCUCCAAAUACUGGCUGCUGCUGUUAGGGAAAACCCAAUCCCGUAGGGCCAGGCCUUCACCCUAGCCUUUGAUCACCCCCAUGGCUGUGUGUAUACACAUCAGAGUGUGGCUGCCAACUCCACACCAGCCAGAGCUCCCCACACUCUGCAUAUUUGCUGCAAUCAAGGUGAUUCUGGUCUGGGGGCCCUUAUGGCCAGUGGGAGACCCUAAGAGCCAGCUUAGAUAGCAUUCCUCCUGCCCCUUAGUUCCUGGCUGGCUGUGGCUUCAGUGGUGUGUAAGCUAGUGGAAUACCCCUCACCAAGUUCUGGGGCACCCCUGGGGGCCUGACAAGGGGGUGGUACUUCCUAAAGACCAGCCUAACCUCCACUCCCUACCCCAGCUGGGACCCCAGCAAUGUUUUCUUGUUGUACAAGAACCAGGUCCAAGUGUUGCCUCCUCUUCCUUCCGGAAGCCAAACCGCUCCUUUAUUUUUUAGAGCUGCUGAUUGUGAAUCUCAAGAGUCUUAAGAGAAGCCAAAUAUAUUCCUCUUGUAAAUGAAAUAAACCUAUUUAAAUCA